rnacentral:antisense_RNA from 1 species
CGGGCGGUGGCGUCCCAGGUCGCCUCGCCGGAGACCAGGGCCUGCUCGCCCAGGUGUGCGCCGUCGGCCAGGACACCCAGGACGGCCUCGCCGCCGUAGGGGCCGGUGCCGAUGCGCUCGACGCGGCCGUGCGCCAGCAGGUAGACGGUGUCCACCGGGUCGCCCUCGGCGGCCAGGACGUCCCCGGCGGCGAACUCGCGCUGCUCGCAGCGGUUCGCCAGCUCGGUCAGCGCCGACUCGUCCUCGAACCCGCGCAGCGCGGGCAGCUCCCCCAGCUCGGCCGGGAUCACCGCCACCCGACGCCCGGUCUGCACAAAGGUGAUCUUCCCGUCACCCACCGAAUAGCUCAGUCGCCGGUUGACCCGGUACGUACCGCCCUGCACCUGCACCCACGGCAGCAUCCGCAACAGCCACCGAGAGGUGAUCUCCUGCAUCUGGGGGGCGGACUUGGUGGUGGUCGCCAGAUUCCGCGCGGCUGCGGUGCCAAGACUCUGCUG